GCACAUUCCUCAGAUAUUGUGCAACAUUCCUUUAAAAUUCAGCGUUCCAGUGAGCAAUCUUCAUUUGAUACAAUAUUCAUGGGAAGUAAUCACAGAAGGUUGCAAUGCAGUCGCAGCAGAUUUGUUUGGAAGUUCAGUGGCAUUUGGUUGGGAGUCUUUGCAGGGAGCUUGCUUCUCACUUGGUGAUGCACGAUGGUAAAUCCCUCCGUCCUACUGCUGCUUGGCAUGUUGGCCACUCCUGGGCUGCUUGUGCUGGUGUUGUGUUACUCAGUGUCCUGAAAAUAAGUCCUUUAAAACGCGCUAGCUAAACUAUUUUGUCUUUUCUUUUAGAAGGAGUGUGUAAUGAAGCCUGUUUGCUCUGAUUUGAUAGUGGGAUGUUUCACUGGGUAAUCUGGUUCCUAUGUCAGGCUACGCAUCUGUUGCUCAGUGUGAAUAGCAAAAUUACGUGAUUUAGCUGUCACCAGCUGAUUUAAUGUCAGUGGGUUUGGGGGUUAGUAAUCAAUUCAGAUACAACUAUUUAACUUGCAUUCUCUGGGAGUCUCUUGCCACAAUAGGAGGGAGCACAGCAAAAUGCUCUGCUUUUCCAAAACAUCCCUUGAUCUUAUGAUUUGACAAAAUUUGUUUUGAGAGAGUUUUGUUGCAAGCCUCCAGAAAGAAAUUGGCAACUCAUCCAUAGUCCCCUUAGGGUGAUAUCUUCAGUGAUUUAUGUAGGAGUCUGUGGAGCUGAAUAUGUGGGGAGAUUAUUUUUGACAUUUCUGGCUUGGAGAAAUUAUGCAUUUUGUAUGGCUGGAUGCACUAGUUCUCAGGUGGCACUGAUUUUUUCAAGGAAUUCAGCUCCUUCAAGUGCUGGAGUUGCAAUGAGAUUCUGCUGGGAGAGCCUGACAGGACAUUCAGUUGGUACAAAGCAGAUCUGUACAGACCAUCGCUCCAUCGCUCCAGUACAGAAGUGUCUUGUCACAGUAGUGAAGGACUGUCACAUCUUGCACACCAUGUUAUUUUCAUUGCCAGCAUAGCGAGUAGAAAAGCGUCACAACCGAGUUUCCUCUUGGCAGGAUUUAUAUUGCCUAAUUUUAAAUAUCUACAGCGUAGAUGUCAAAGUAAGAGCUCAUUAUCCAAAGUCGCCG
rnacentral:lncRNA from 1 species